CGCGGUAAGUACUGGUAGGGAGGUGCUAACGUCGAUGUAACUCGGAGAACUUACCUGGAGUCGCUAACGGCCGAUGCGACCAGGGCGGCUUCAUAGUACAGCACUCACNACUGGUAGACNACUCCCCCCGGCAGGCGUGUAUCCUUAUGGGCGNAAACGUGGGCAAUUCUGAUGAACCUGCUACUAGUCCUAGGAGAUUACGGGCAGCAGGGGGGACUGGUACAUUCCCGCGAUGCUAUGCAGCUGAAAAAUGCCGUCAGAUAUUGCGGCAGGAAACACCAGAUGGCGAAGCGCA
rnacentral:rRNA from 1 species